CAGGUUGCUGACGCUGAACGAGGACUCUGCACCAGCACCCAGCGCCAGCCUCCGAGCAGCACAACCGCACAACGUCAAGGACAAUCCAAGGUUUUCCUGCAAUUGUCACAGAAGAGAAAUUAAAUCUAAUCUACACUCUGUAUCCACAACAGUGAAACAUUGGGGGCAUAGUUUUCAAACUGUAGUGUGUAUAAAUCCACUGUUUGUCUGAAUAAACCACUUGCUGCCUUAA